GAUGAACGCUGGCGGCGUGCCUAAUACAUGCAAGUCGAGCGAACGGACGAGAAGCUUGCUUUUCUGAUGUUAGCGGCGGACGGGUGAGUAACACGUGGAUAACCUACCUAUAAGACUGGGAUAACUUCGGGAAACCGGAGCUAAUACCGGAUAAUAUUUUGAACCGCAUGGUUCAAAAGUGAAAGACGGUCUUGCUGUCACUUGUAGAUGGAUCCGCGCUGCAUUAGCUAGUUGGUAAGGUAACGGCUUACCAAGGCAACGAUGCAUAGCCGACCUGAGAGGGUGAUCGGCCACACUGGAACUGAGACACGGUCCAGACUCCUACGGGAGGCAGCAGUAGGGAAUCUUCCGCAAAGGGCGAAAGCCUGACGGAGCAACGCCGCGUGAGUGAUGAAGGUCUUCGGAUCGUAAAACUCUGUUAUUAGGGAAGAACAUAUGUGUAAGUAACUGUGCACAUCUUGACGGUACCUAAUCAGAAAGCCACGGCUAACUACGUG
rnacentral:rRNA from 1 species